GAGGAUUCCUGGCGCCACGCUGGGGAUACCCGACCUAUUGUCAUGUGCACGUGUGGGGAGGAACGGUGGGUGGUUUUGGUGUGUGGCUGUGUGACGGAUGGUUGCCCGAGAGGGUGGCUGUCUGGAACGGCCCGCGCCGGCUGCUUGCCGCCCCGACGAACCUUAACUUCGGCGGAAGAGGUAGGCUUGGACCUGCCCGCCGCCGGCCGUAACUGUAUCUACUCUACAAGGAGAAUCUGAAGCCUGAUUAUACAAAACGAAAUGAAAAGCAAAACUUUCAACAACGGAUCUCUUGGCUCU
rnacentral:misc_RNA from 1 species